rnacentral:rRNA from 1 species
GACGAACCGUGCGAACGUUGUUCGGAAUCACUGGGCUUAAAGGGCGCGUAGGCGGUCUGCCAAGUCCGGGGUGAAAGCCCCCAGCUCAACUGGGGAAGUGCCUUGGAUACUGGCGGACUCGAGGGAGGCAGGGGUUGUGGGAACUUCCGGUGGAGCGGUGAAAUGCGUUGAUAUCGGAAGGAACGCCGGUGGCGAAAGCGCACAACUGGUCCUCUUCUGACGCUGAGGAGCGAAAGCGUGGGGAGCGAACAGG